GGGAGGUACCCCUCUAUCUGGUGGAUUUGGGGUGUCUGGGUGGGAGGUGCCCCUCUAUCUGGUGGAUCUGGGGUGUCUGGGUUGGAGGUGUCCCUCUCCCUGGUGGAUUUGGGGUGUCUGGGUGGGACAUACCCCUCUCUCUGGUGGAUUUGGGGCGUCUGGGUGACAGGUACCCCUCUCUCUGGUGGAUUUGGGGUGUCUGGGUUGGAGGUGCCCCUCUCUCUGGUGGAUUUGGGGUGUCUGGGUGGAACGUACCCCUCUCCUUGGUGGAUUUGGAGUGUCUGGGUGGGAGGUACUCCUCUAUCUGGUGUAUUUGGGGUCUCUGGGUGGGAUCCCCCUCCCCUGGUGGAUUUGGGAUGUCUGGGUGGAGUCCCCCUCCCCUGGUUCCUGCUCUGCUGUUCUCUUUGCCUCCCUUAGCUACUGAGUGAGUACCGUCUAUGUUGACUUCCAGCUCAGGGCGUCCUGAGCUUCUGGGACUUCUCAUUUUUCUGCCGAG
rnacentral:lncRNA from 1 species